ACGAGCUUCAAAACAAAUACAUAAUAACAAAAUUAAAUGUUAUCCAUAAUUAUUAUUACUAUUCAUUUUUAUUAGCAACAUGCAUAUUAGUUGCUAUUUCAUUAAUAUUAAUGAAUAGUUAAAUAAUAAUUGAUACAAUUGAAUUAACGGUGUUAUUCGUUGGUGUCUAUACUUUAUCCAAAUUAUCGCCUAAACCGUCGAUAAUGAUGAAGAUAAAGCGAUAGCUUGAUUAAUUUUUAUAUGAAAAAUUAAUUAAGUAGACUUAAUAAGCAUUUAUGCUAAAUAUGCUACCAACAAAUAA
rnacentral:misc_RNA from 1 species